CCUAGGAAACUCCCACGUGCCACGAGGAAAAACACUAUGCGAGGGAGCGAAUCUCGAAGAAUCCUUAAUGGCACCUCUCCUCUUAUCGGAUAUAGGAACCCAAAGAGAUUAAAAGGAUCCCGAGAGCUCACCCUUUCCUCAGGGCCCUGCACCUAGUCCGGGAACUUCAAAUGAAAAAAUGUUCAAAUGCCCAUUGAAGCAUCCAGAAUUCCUUGACAAAUCCUGCAUCCUCUUUGAAGCACAAGUUCAGAACACGGUUCCGGCCUCGUUCUCCGAAGAAAUCACCAAGGCUCCAAGCUUCAUCAUCUUCAACAGAAUCAAGAACUUGGGAAGACCCUACUUGUAACGCCCCCG
rnacentral:lncRNA from 1 species